CGGUAGCACAGAGGAGCUUGCUCCUUGGGUGACGAGUGGCGGACGGGUGAGUAAUGCCUGGGAAACUGCCCGAUGGAGGGGGAUAACUACUGGAAACGGUAGCUAAUACCGCAUAACGUCUUCGGACCAAAGUGGGGGACCUUCGGGCCUCACACCAUCGGAUGUGCCCAGGUGGGAUUAGCUAGUAGGUGGGGUAAUGGCUCACCUAGGCGACGAUCCCUAGCUGGUCUGAGAGGAUGACCAGCCACACUGGAACUGAGACACGGUCCAGACUCCUACGGGAGGCAGCAGUGGGGAAUAUUGCACAAUGGGCGCAAGCCUGAUGCAGCCAUGCCGCGUGUAUGAAGAAGGCCUUCGGGUUAUAAAGUACUUUCAGUGGGGAGGAAGGCAGUGAGGUUAAUAACCUUGCUGAUUGACGUUACCCGCAGAAGAAGCACCGGCUAACUCCGUGCCAGCAGCCGCGGUAAUACGGAGGGUGCAAGCGUUAAUCGGAAUUACUGGGCGUAAAGCGCACGCAGGCGGUCUGUCAAGUCGGAUGUGAAAUCCCCGGGCUCAACCUGGGAACUGCAUUCGAAACUGGCAGACUAGAGUCUUGUAGAGGGGGGUAGAAUUCCAGGUGUAGCGGUGAAAUGCGUAGAGGUCUGGAGGAAUACCGGUGGCGAAGGCGGCCCCCUGGACA
rnacentral:rRNA from 1 species